rnacentral:rRNA from 1 species
GAUGAACGCUGGCGGCGUGCCUAAUACAUGCCAGUCGAGCGAACAGACGAGGAGCUUGCUCCUCUGACGUUAGCGGCGGACGGGUGAGUAACACGUGGAUAACCUACCUAUAAGACUGGGAUAACUUCGGGAAACCGGAGCUAAUACCGGAUAACAUGUUGAACCGCAUGGUUCAACAGUGAAAGACGGUCUUGCUGUCACUUAUAGAUGGAUCCGCGCCGCAUUAGCUAGUUGGUAAGGUAACGGCUUACCAAGGCAACGAUGCGUAGCCGACCUGAGAGGGUGAUCGGCCACACUGGAACUGAGACACGGUCCAGACUCCUACGGGAGGCAGCAGUAGGGAAUCUUCCGCAAUGGGCGAAAGCCUGACGGAGCAACGCCGCGUGAGUGAAGAAGGUCUUCGGAUCGUAAAACUCUGUUAUUAGGGAAGAACAAAUGUGUAAGUAACUAUGCACGUCUUGACGGUACCUAAUCAGAAAGCCACGGCUAACUACGU